rnacentral:rRNA from 1 species
GCCAGCAGCAUACCACCCUGCAUCCCACUGCUGGCUUGCCUCCGAAGCUAAACAGGUGUGGUCCUGGAUGGGAGACCAGAUGCUGCUGGAA